rnacentral:SRP_RNA from 1 species
GGGAGGUUGGUGGUGGACGAGCCACUCGCCAACCGGGUCAGGUCCGGAAGGAAGCAGCCCUAACGAGCCCCGGCACGGGUCACCGUGCCAGCCUCCCACCUUCU